rfam:Triticum aestivum genome assembly, contig: Triticum_aestivum_CS42_TGACv1_scaffold_405436_5BL
GUGAUACUCCCUUCAUCCGAAAAUACUUGUCAUCAAAAUAAAUAAAAAAAGAUGUAUCUAAACGUAUUUAAAUUUAAAUACAUCCUUCUUAUCCAUUUUUAUGACAAGUAUUUUCGGACGGAGAGGUAUCGU